UUAAAAGUCCCCCUUCCCCCACCCCCAGUCAUCAGAGUUGGGAUCUCUGCCCAGCUCUUCCCUUUUCCCCUUGGACCUUUCCAGCCCUGUGGUUUUUGAAAACAAUUUGGACCCUUCCAGAGCUUGGGAGAGGAGGCCUGGGCCCUGCUCUGGCCCUCUCAGUGGUGGCCUGUGACUGUGCGUAUCACAGAUGAAGGGACAAAGCCAGAGAGGCUAAGUAACUCCCUCAAGGGCACACAGCAGAGUCUUGAUUUGUAGCCCAGACUGGACUGGAAUUUGCAACCUUCCUGACUCAGCCUCCUGAGUGCUGGGAUUACAGACCCCGAGCCAGGCUCUGGGCUACAGCUGGAGCAAGGACGAGACUUUGGCUUCAAGAAAUCCCUGGAACAAUAACUUGCAGCUGAGCAGCACAAUUGUUUAUGGUUUGUGGUCUGUGAGGCCCUUUUCCAUAUCCUGUCCCGUGAUCCUGGUGUCGGACGUGGCCGAGACGAGACACUCAGAAACAGACUCUGAGGACAUCCAGGAGGAUGAAGACCCCUGGGUGAGGCCCAUGGG
rnacentral:lncRNA from 1 species